UAUGAAGGGGGCUAGCGUUGCUCGGAAUCACUGGGCGUAAAGGGUGCGUAGGCGGGUCUUUAAGUCAGGGGUGAAAUCCUGGAGCUCAACUCCAGAACUGCCUUCGAUACUGGCGAUCUUGAGUCCGGAAGAGGUGAGUGGAACUCCUAGUGUAGAGGUGGAAUUCGUAGAUAUUAGGAAGAACACCAGUGGCGAAGGCGGCUCACUGGUCCGGUACUGACGCUGAGGUGCGAAAGCGUGGGGAGCAAACAGG
rnacentral:rRNA from 1 species